CUCUGAUCUUACUGUUGAUGCCAAGAGCGCACACACCAAACUGCAGUUAAGAGAAGUGAUGAAGGUGGAAGGAAACUUCGGGCUUAACUUCCAUUGUGUGUGAUUCUGGUAAUCAAAUUUAAGGAGAGAACAGAUGAGAUAGACACAGACCAACUAUUUGAGCGCUUAUCUGAAAGUAAUUAAACUGGAUGUGCAAAAAGGGUAGAAGUUUUAGAGUUGAAGUGGACUGCUUCUGAGGGCUGUUUCUAACUGAGAAAUACUUCUACUUGCAAUGUUUCUAAUGGUCUGAAUCAUCAUUCAGGCACUGUGUAAUGUUGUCUAGUAAGAGAACAUUUCUGUCGGCCAGAACACACUGCUACUGAUCUUAAGGUGAUCAGUGCUGGACAAAGGAAUUUCAAUAGGAGGUUCAGAAGUGGAACUGCUGGCUUACAGUUCACUAAGAGGUUUCAUUCUUUUCAUUUUGGCCUGAAUAGAGACAAUCGGACCUAAUGGGACUCACAGGCGGGCAUAAAGUUUGAAGUUCCCCUGGAUUACAUUUAUGGUUGAAAUGAUGAAAAACGGCCACAGCACCACCUCUUUCGGAUGUGAAAAUGGCCAAGUUGUAUUCAGUGACUUAUUCAAUAGCCAAGAAUGGUAAGAAUCAUCUGGAGGAAAACUGUUUGUGUGUGUGUGUGUGUAAACUCUUGUGGAAAAGUAGAGAGAGGUGAGUAACAAACUUGUGAACAAGGAAAACUCAUUUUUGUACUUUCUGUUCAGAAACCACUGGAGAAAUGCUGUUUGUGAUCCAGGUUACUGAGGGGUAGCUUGUAAACAAGAGCUUCCCUGUCAGCUCACUCAAGGACAGAAAAGGGAAACCAGGCAGAGAAACAACCUGCCUUCUGGAACAAUGAGAAGCAUGGUUUGGCAGCCCCAGGGGCUCUGAUAAGAUGUGCUUCCUUCUAAAUAUUUUAAUGAGCUAAGCAGCGGGCAUUCCCCGUUGAACACUCUCUUCAUGGCUGUUGCUAAGCAAAACCAGUGUAAACAUUUUUUUUAAGAAACAAAUUCUUCUAAAUCUUAAAGCUACUCAGGUAGCUUUUCAGAAACCACCCCAAGCAGGUGUGCAGCUGAGGUGAAGCCAUUCUUCAGCAAACACAGGGCCACCUCUUCACCCUGCAUCCUUUCUCAUCUUCCAUCCAUGAGGAUUUUAAAAACCAACAUGGAGGCAUCACUAUCCAGUCUGCUCCCUUCAGGGCAAUCCUACAUUUUUCAAACAAGUCUACCCUGUUUAGGGCCUGGUCCACACACAUUCCGCAAAACCCUGUGGUGAAAUACGUCUGAGAGAUCACCAUUUCCGACUGCAGGCAGAAGGUCCAGGUCUGAAUGUUUCCUCACAGGACACCGUAAAGGGGCACAGCAGGAAGAGGGCUAAACUGGAAUUUUACUCCCCUAAAUCUUUGUUUUCUACAUGCAAGGAAGGUGUUGUUUACUUACCGGUAGUUACUUACUUACCACAUUACUAUCCUGCCUUUUCUCCAUUUGUAGAAAUGUUUUUAUUGUUUCUAAGUUUCGUAGAAAUUUUAUUGUAUUUUAUUUUAUACUGGGUGGACUGCUAUGCCUUGCUCUUCCAAUUAUUCCGUCUGAGCAUUGCAGCUUGCCAGAUGGAACAAUGCUCCCCCCUCUCCAACCCCAUGUUCUGGAGCUUCUGCAAAUGCCCCCCCAAGCCCAUGUUGGAGGAGAGAGGGGUAAAGCCUCAUUGUGCAAGGAGACGUCCUCAUUCAGGGCUUCCACUGAUGGGGCUGGUUAGGCGAGUCCCACCACUUGUUUUUCAGGCUGGGAAGCAGUUUAAACAUUUGUAAAACAAAUAAAACAUUGACAGCAAAUAUUGGUUUCUUCUCCUCUUGCCUCCCCCCCCCCCCAUUUUAUCCUCAUAAAACAACCCUGCAAGGUAUGUUGGGCUGAGAGAGCAACUGGCCCAAGGUCACCCAAUAACUGUCAUGGCCAUCUGGAAGUUUGAACCUGGGAUUUCCUGGCCUUAGCCUAACACCCUCUUCCUAUACAACUCUGGAUCUUUAACACGUAGAAGGCAUUUCACAACGCAGUGCCUCACAGUAAUCUGAACUGGGUUCAACUCUUUCGUCACAGACACAAUUUCUGCGGAGGAUGAGCUGAAAGAAUACUUCUGAUGUGUGAUGAUGUGGGCUUCAGGACACAUGGUUAAUAGGUUAUGAAGUUCCCCCCUCCCACCCGCCACCCCAGUCCAGUCCCCAUUUUUUCUUCAGCCACUUUCUCUCUGCUGGAUUCCCACAGCAUUUGGAGUGCAGUUAAUCGCUUGCACAGGAAAGGGGCUUUCAUAAAUCACAGAGGCAAGCAGUCAAGGAUUUUUCAUGCAUUCCUUUCCUAUGUAAAUGAUGUGUAACUUUCUUGUGAAUCAGGCCCAUCGAUUCUCACUCGCACACAUACACACGCUGCCCUUCCCCUCCUCCCCACCAACCUCCCUGCACGAUUCCCCCCCUUCUCCCCCCCCCCCUUGCUGGAUUCUCAGAAUUGCAAUCUAAAUGGCCCUGAAACAUUUGAAGACGAUUAAAGUUUAGCUUUGCAUAUCAGUGACCUACCAGCAAUUCCCACUAAAGCUCUGAUGUAUAUACUGCAUUUGAUCUACAGCUAGAUGAUUCAGAAAGAAGUGAUUCCAGAAGUGCUUUCUUCCCCCACAGAGUACUGGAAAAAUGCCCUCUGGAGACACAGCAUAAUAGCAGCUAUUUCCUAUGAGCAUCCUACAGGCCAGGGACACUCCAGUAAGUUGCCAGCCAUUGCCUUUUGGCUUCCUUCCUGUUUUGCACAACACAUAAAUCACCAGGACUGAUUUCUUCUGUCUUAUUAGCAAGAUUUAAGAAGCUUAAUAAAAUACAUUUGGCAGGUUA
rnacentral:lncRNA from 1 species